GCCCCGGUGAACGGCGGCCGUAACUAUAACGGUCCUAAGGUAGCGAAAUUCCUUGUCGGGUAAGUUCCGACCUGCACGAAUGGCGUAACGAUGGGGGCGCUGUCUCUACCCGAGACUCAGUGAAAUUGAAAUCGCCGUGAAGAUGCGGUGUAUCCGCGGCUAGACGGAAAGACCCCGUGAACCUUUACUAUAGCUUUGCACUGGACUUUGAGCUUGCUUGUGUAGGAUAGGUGGGAGGCUUUGAAGCGUGGACGCCA
rnacentral:rRNA from 1 species